rnacentral:rRNA from 1 species
AGUGGGGAAUAUUGCGCAAUGGGGGGAACCCUGACGCAGCCAUGCCGCGUGAAUGAAGAAGGCCUUAGGGUUGUAAAGUUCUUUCGGUAUUGAGGAAGGUUGAUGUGUUAAUAGACAUCAAAUUGACGUUAAAUACAGAAGAAGCACCGGCUAACUCCGUGCCAGCAGCCGCGGUAAUACGGAGGGUGCGAGCGUUAAUCGGAAUAACUGGGCGUAAAGGGCACGCAGGCGGUUAUUUAAGUGAGGUGUGAAAGCCCCGGGCUUAACCUGGGAAUUGCAUUUCAGACUGGGUAACUAGAGUACUUUAGGGAGGGGUAGAAUUCCACGUGUAGCGGUGAAAUGCGUAGAGAUGUGGAGGAAUACCGAAGGCGAAGGCAGCCCCUUGGGAAUGUACUGACGCUCAUGUGCGAAAGCGUGGGGAGCAAACAGGAUUAGAUACCCUGGUAGUCCACGCUGUAAACGCUGUCGAUUUGGGGGUUGGGGUUUAACUCUGGCGCCCGUAGCUAACGUGAUAAAUCGACCGCCUGGGGAGUACGGCCGCAAGGUUA